GGGAUUGGAGCCACAGAAGGAGUGAAGGGUUAUUCUAAUAAUACAGCCUCGAAAUCCUGACAGCCAGUGAUGCAUGAGUCUUCUAAUACUCCUUUUGGCCUUUAAAUCCAUGCUUUAGUUGUUGCCUUCCUUGAAGACAUGGCUGGGGGUGUCAUCUUAGUAUUUACAACCAUCAGUUAGGAUUACAUUGACAGCAUCUAGUGGGAGGGAGAGUCCACUAGACCCCAUGGCUGGAAAUCUGAAGAAAGAAAGCUGGCAUGCGUUAUAAAAUCACAAGAAUAGCCAGCACCAUCUCCACAGGCUGUGGAACCCCGCGCGAUACCAAGGGGAUUGGAGCAAGCAAGUUACACUCUCUGCUUCUCUUUCUAAGAAACAGAAUUUGGCAUAAAUAAAUGAUAACUGAGAAAAUGGCAUACACGGACAAGUAAAUGCAAGAUUUCUCCAGCCUCCCACGGGCUUGAAAUGUAUUUAGGGAAGCCAGGCAUGUAUGCAUGAAAUAGAAAGUCACCAUACAAGGCAGUGGGGCACCUGCCAUUUGCUGCAGAGGACGCAGCUGAAGAUAAGGACUACAGCCAUUCAAGGCCCCAGGGGAGGCCAGGGCAGGACUGGGACCAGAGCCUCACCAAAGACAUGGAGAUCCUAGGAUAAGAAGGCUGAAGGGUUAGUUUCUGGAUCAUCUGAAAUUUGAUAUUUUAAAAGCUUUCUUUAAAAGACGCUUUUAUAAUUCUCUCUUAAAAAAUUCAGCCCAUUUUGUCCUUUGCCAUUUUUGAAUUGGGUUAUAGGUCUUGUACUUAUUGAUUUAUAAAAGCUCUUUCAUUUUAGAAACAUUAAUAAUAAAUAUUUUACCUAGUUAAGAAAAUUUAGCUGCCAAGUGAUGUCUUUUCCAUAUGGUGACAAAUACAUUAAGGAGAGGGGAAGGUCAAAAUUUGUGCUUUAUGAUUUCUUCUUAAUUUUUAAAAAUUUUUAAUUUUAUGGGAACAUAGUGGGUGUAUAUAUUUAUGGGGUACACGAGAUAUUUUGAUACAGGCAUGCAAUGUGUAAUAAUCACAUUAGGGUAAAUGGGGUAUCUGGCACCUCAAGCAUUUAGCAUUUCCUUUUGUUACAAACAAUCCAAUUGUACUCUUUCAGUUAUUUUAAAAUGUACAAUAUGUUUUGCUGACUGUAAUAACCCUGUUGUGCUGUCAAAUACCAGAUCCUAUUCAUUCUAUCUAACUCUAUUUUUGUACCUAGUAACCAUUCCACCCCCGCCCCUUCCUAGCCUCUGGUAACCAUCAUUCUAUUCUCUCUGUCCAUGAGUUCAAUUGUUUUAAUUUUUAGCUCUCACAAAUGAAUGAAAACAUGUGAAGUUUGUCUUUCCAUGCCUGUUUUAUUUCAUUUAACAGAAUGUCCUCCAGUUCCAUCCAUGGUGUUGUAAAUGACAGGAUCUCAUUCCUUUUUAUGGCUGAAUAGUACUCCACUACGCAUAUGUACCACAUUUUCUUCAUCUAAUUUAUCUGUUGAUGGACACUUACAUUGCUUCCAGAUCUUGUCUAUUGUGAACAGAGCUGCAAUAAACAUGGCAGUGCAGGAA
rnacentral:lncRNA from 1 species